CAGGGGCUCCUUUCCCCUGCAGCAAUUCCUCAAAAUUGGCCUAUAGUCAUUAUUGACUUAAAAGACUGCUUUUAUACUAUUCCCCUUGCAGAACAGGACAGAGAAAAAUUUGCAUUUAUAAUACCAGCUAUCAAUAAAGGGCCAUG